GCGCCGGUGGUACAAUGGUAGAAUAAUAGCCUUCCAAGCUAUCGAUCCGGGUUCGAUUCCCGGCCGGCGCA
rfam:Klebsormidium nitens DNA, contig: KFL_690.